CACGAGAAGCUGCCUUCUUCCUGUCCACUGCCAAGAGUAUCUGCCUUGCAAAAGGCUUUGGGCCAGAUCAUCACCUUGCAGAACCUGCUUCACUGGGAAAGAUGCCGGGCAGCCUUGGGGGAGCCGUAGGUGGGAGCAUCAGCAAAGGCCAUAGGAAAUGUUCUCUCAAGAAGGGCCACAGAGAAAAAGAAGAGCUUAGCUGCUUUCCAGACUGUCCUGGCUAUGAGGACCCGUGAGUCCCCAACUCUGCCAUCUAUCUUGUCAAGUUUAAUGAAGCCGCUUCCUAACAUCCUUACCUGCUGUUUGUAG